rnacentral:snRNA from 1 species
AUCGCUUCUCGGCAUUUUUGGCUCAGAUCAAGUGUAGUAUCUGUUCUUAUCAGUUUAAUAUCUGAUACGUCCCCCAUAGGGGGACUACAUAUUAAAUGGAUUUUUCGAACAGGGAGUCAGAAAUGGGGCUUGCUCCGUCCGCUCCACGCAUCGACCCGGUAUUGCAGUACCUCCGGGAACGGUGCAACACUU